UGCCUGUAUCUAUAAGUGCCCCGUAAAUUAUAGUCUGUUUAAUCUUCAGUCUGCCCACCUCUUUCUUUGAUUUCACAGCAACUUGGGACCAGUUCUAAAACACUGUUUCUUUUUUCCCAGAAGAGAACUCACACCUCCAUCACUCUUGACAUUCUAACUACUCUUGGGAAUAAGAGAACUGCCCGCUCUGUUUUCCCACUGCCACCCAGGUCCCCCUGGUCUUCUCACAACCCUGCCUAGCGGACACAAGGAAAUCCAACACCUGGCUCAGGUGCAGAGUCAGCCAGGUCUGUAGAUCUACAGCAUCUCAUCAGGAUGCAAAACUUCAAUGGACUCAAAGCCAGACUCUCAGCUUGUCACCUGGGUGAAGGUGAGGGGGGGACACGCAUAUCAAGAUCACAUAAUGAGGAUACAAGAUCUCUAUGGCCUGCCUACUCUUUCAAGCUAAAGAACAUUUUUAUCCUUCUUCCUCAUUGUGGCAGAGACCAAGAGGAAAAGAGAAGAAAGAUAGGGAGAUGGAAAGGGAGAGAGAGAAAAGGAGUGGGACGGACACUACAGGCUCUUCAGGUUAAAUGAGCGUUGCCCCA
rnacentral:lncRNA from 1 species